AUUGAACGCUGGCGGCAUGCCUUACACAUGCAAGUCGAACGGCAGCACGGGAGCAAUCCUGGUGGCGAGUGGCGAACGGGUGAGUAAUAUAUCGGAACGUGCCCAAUCGUGGGGGAUAACGUAGCGAAAGCUACGCUAAUACCGCAUACGAUCUAUGGAUGAAAGCGGGGGAUCGCAAGACCUCGCGCGAUUGGAGCGGCCGAUAUCAGAUUAGGUAGUUGGUGGGGUAAAAGCCUACCAAGCCUUCGAUCUGUAGCUGGUCUGAGAGGACGACCAGCCACACUGGAACUGAGACACGGUCCAGACUCCUACGGGAGGCAGCAGUGGGGAAUUUUGGACAAUGGGCGCAAGCCUGAUCCAGCAAUGCCGCGUGCAGGAUGAAGGCC
rnacentral:rRNA from 1 species